AGGCCAGGGAGGUGUGCUAAGGACACCUUUCCCACAGGCACCACUGUCGUUCACACUUUUACUUAACUUACUCAAGUUUCACUCUAUUUAUCCAAGAGAGUAACAUGGCCAGAGUAGUUUAGAAAAUCACCCAGCCGGGCACGGUGGCUCAUGCCUGUAAUCCCAGCACUUUGGGAGGUCAAGGCAAGAGAAUCGCUUGAAUCCAGGAGGUGGAGGUUGCAGUGAGCCAAGAUCGUGCCACUGCACUCCAGCCUGGGCAAUAGAGCGAGACUCCGUCUCAAAAAGAAAAAAUCACCCUAGCAGUGAUGCAGAGAGACCCUGAGUGGUACCAGCCUGGAGGCAGAUGGACAGUUAACAAGAACUCCAGGCAGAGCAGAGGGCCACAGUGCAGACACUGUAGCAUGAAGCAGGAGGAGGGAGAGAAGAGAGCUGCUAAGAUGACAGGAACGACAGGAUUGGUGUGUGUGGCAGGUAAAGGAAAGGAGUCAGGUUGUGCUGGUGACUGGCUGGCUGCUGGCAGCUGAUGCCAUUUACCAAGACAGGGAUCCAGGAGGAGGAGCCUGUUUGGGACCACUGUAAAGCUGUCCAAGUGCUGAUAUGAAGCUGACACUGGGCAGAUGUCUAUAUGGGAGUCAUCAGCAAAAACAGGGUGACUGGAGUGCUGAGAACUGGGGAGCUUGUCCAGAUGAGGUUCAAGAGUCAUCUUGGCCAGGGUGAAGUCAUCACAAGGCCAGGCAGGAUGGGAGGCUAAGAGUGAGUGAUUAGACUGAUAGGGAGGGCCAGGCGAGAGCAGUGUCACAACAUCAAGGGAAGAGAGAGGUCAGUGGUGUCAAAUGCUAUAGAAGGGUCAUAUGAAAUUCAUUCAUUCACAUAACUAUUUACUGAAUACCCACUAUGUGCCAGGUACUAUGCCAGAGACUAGGGGGUACAAGGUGAAAAAGAAACAAAGUCCCAGUCUGCAAGAAGAUUCCGAUCAAAGAGUCUGUCUGAUUUGGCAAGUUCGACUAUACAUGGGUUUUGCUUUUUUACUUCUUGUCUUCCUGCACUGGGGUGUGAUUCCCACAAAGACAGGGACUGCUGGUUUUCCUCCCUGCACUAUCCCAUGUGCCUGGAAUAGUUCCUGGCAUACUGUUAGUGCUCAAAAAGUAUUUUUUAAGGGCUGGGCACGGUGGCUUAUGACUCCCAGCACUUUGGGAGGCCAAGGUGGGCAGAUCAUGAGGUGAAGAGUUCGAGACUAGUCUGGACAACAUAUUGUAUUUUUUGUUUUUGUAAAAAUACAAAAAAUUAGCUGAGUGUGGUGGUGUGUGCCUGUAGUCCCAGCUACUCGGGAGGCUGAGGCAGGAGAAUCACUUGAACUGGGAGGUGGAGGCUGCAGUGAGCCGAGAUCGUGCUAUUGCACUCUAGCCUGGAUGACAGUGCGAGACUCCAUCUCAAUAAAAAAAAAAAGUAUUUCUUGAAUGAAACAAACACAUAGGAUGUCUUUGGUGACCUCUUCUGGAGCUGUUUCAGGAGAAUGAGGAGGUAGGUAAGAGGCCAGUUCCGAGGGUUAGGGAGCAAGCGGAAGGUAACAAAGUAGAAAUGGAGACGACAAGAUGAUUGCUCUGAGGAGCUUCGUAGUGAAAGGAAGAGGAAUACAGUGGCAGCUAGAAAGGGACACAAAGACCAGGAAAAACUUUCAUUUUCCUUUAAAGGUAAAAAGUAUCUGAGCACAUUUUCUAGCCUGUGGAGAAGGAAUCAAUAGGAAACAGGUUGAAAAUAUGGGAGGAUAAAAGAGAAGAUGACAGAAAAAGGUCUCUGAAAAGAGUGAAUGAAAUUAAGAAACCAAAAGGAGAGAUGAACU
rnacentral:lncRNA from 10 species